rnacentral:lncRNA from 1 species
UGUAAGUUGUUCUGCUGGAAAUAGUGGUCCAUCCUUUAUCACAGCAGUAAACACCGCCCCUUGGAUUCUUACGGUAGGUGCCAGCACGCUUGACAGAAAGAUAAAAGCUACUGUUAAGCUUGGAAAUGGAGAGGAAUUUGAAGGAGAAUCUGCUUAUCGUCCAAAGAUUUCCAACGCAACAUUCUUCACUCUAUUUGAUGCUGCAAAAAAUGCAAAAGAUCCAUCCGAAACCCCUUAUUGCAGACGAGGUUCACUCACUGACCCUGCUAUAAGAGGAAAGAUAGUAUUAUGUUCAGCACUCGGCCAUGUAGCCAAUGUUGAUAAAGGACAAGCUGUGAAGGAUGCUGGAGGUGUUGGCAUGAUUAUCAUCAACCCAUCACAAUAUGGUGUCACUAAAUCAGCUGAUGCUCAUGUUCUUCCAGCAUUGGUUGUUUCAGCUGCAGACGGAACAAAAAUUCUUGCUUACAUGAACUCAACAUCAAGCCCUGUUGCUACAAUUGCAUUCCAAGGAACAAUAAUUGGAGACAAAAAUGCUCCUAUGGUUGCUGCAUUUUCCUCAAGAGGACCAAGUAGAGCUAGUCCUGGAAUCUUGAAGCCUGACAUAAUCGGUCCUGGUGCUAAUAUCCUUGCUGCUUGGCCUACCUCCGUGGAUGACAACAAGAACACCAAAUCCACAUUCAAUAUCAUAUCAGGCACCUCAAUGUCUUGCCCUCACCUUAGUGGCGUAGCAGCUCUGCUGAAAUGCACACAUCCUGAUUGGUCUCCUGCUGUUAUUAAGUCUGCAAUGAUGACAACGGCUGACACGUUAAACCUUGCUAAUAGUCCAAUACUCGAUGAAAGGCUCCUUCCUGCUGACAUCUAUGCAAUUGGUGCAGGACAUGUUAAUCCAUCAAGGGCAAAUGAUCCAGGACUAGUUUAUGAUACACCAUUCGAGGACUAUGUACCUUAUUUAUGUGGUUUGAAGUACACAGAUCAACAGGUAGGUAACCUGAUACAACGCAGGGUGAAUUGCUCGGAGGUGAAAAGUAUCCUUGAAGCACAAUUAAACUAUCCUUCGUUUUCCAUAUUUGGACUUGGAUCAACUCCUCAGACAUAUACCAGAACUGUAACCAAUGUUGGUGAUGCUACAUCAUCUUACAAAGUGGAGGUAGCUUCACCAGAAGGCGUUGCCAUCGAAGUUGAACCCUCCGAGCUAAAUUUCUCCGAGUUGAACCAGAAGUUGACAUACCAAGUGACAUUUUCCAAGACAACUAAUAGCUCAAACCCUGAGGUUAUUGAGGGAUUCUUGAAGUGGACUUCUAAUAGGCACUCAGUGAGAAGUCCAAUUGCAGUUGUGUCUGCCUAGUCAAAAAUUGGCUAUAUAAGUGCAUUAAGUACUCGGACAUUUGAAAAUGCUGUUUGUUUAUAUGUUACUUUUUAAUAUUAUAUUAUUAAAUGUAUUGUUUCAAUAAACUUUAUGUUCACAGUUGUUUGAAGAAUGCAAAAGCAUAUCCUCUUUGAUGUUAGUGUCCAUGCACUGCUCAACUUUUCUUCUUGAUUUCAUUGAUAAUAAAUAUUACUUGAGUGAUUAUGUAAGAUUUUCACUCCAUACUUAAAUUUGGGAAAUUUGCUGUCACCCUUUGAUCCAGAAUCUUGACAGUGACUUCAAAAAUAAAGUCUUAGUCUUCGGUGACUUCAAAAAGUAAUUGGGACGUUGAUGCUUUAACUAUAUUAGUAAGACAAGAAAAGUAAUAGAGACAUAUACUAUGAAUUUCCAAGAAAAAACGUUGUAAUUAAUUCGAACGAACUUAAAUUUUUUAACAUAUUGUGGCCAAAUGAGAAAUCUAUAGCCAACUAUACAUGUCAAGUCCAAAUUCUACCAUUGAAGGGGACCAAUGUACAUCAUCCAUGGUACAUAAUUUAUCUUCCAAAGAAAUUAAAUUAACCAAUACAUAUUUGGUUUUGUAAUAAUUUUCACAAAAAAACAAGAAUUACAGAAUGCAUUGUUGCUAUUUGUGUGUGGCCCAUCAUGUAUUGGUAGCAUUUUUUUACUAGUUAAUAGAGUAAGGAUUGUCCAAAUUCGUAUAAAGAUAUCAUCAUUCUUAAUUAGCUCCUUUCUGCAUGCCCGGUGAAAUGGAAUGAAUCAAGAAUUAGGACGACGUAUAUAACUCUAAUAUAAUAAGAAAUGAAUUUGCCCUACCUAAACCCUUACAACUAGUAAAUAGAGUAAGGAUUGUUCAAAUCCGUAUAAAGAGAUAUUCGCAUUCUUAAUUAUCCGUAUAUGAUGUAUAGCUAUGUAUCAGACAUGUAUAAAUAUUCAUAUAUCUCUGUUUGUACAUGCAUUGUAUCUGUUCAUCUUCCUUAACAAUGUGUUUUCUUGAAUCUCAACCAACUCAAAUCUUCUCUAAACACUCCGAAUGGUUUUGUUGUUGCCUAGCUCUUAUUGAAUUGUAUAUCUUUUGCAUAUAAGAAAAAGAUUUGAUUAUGAUAUAGGGACUCAACACUUCACGAUAGCGAAUAAUUUUAUAUGUAUCCUGCCCUAAAAGAAAGAAAAAACAAAAAAACUUUACUCGCCUCUCCUAUUUUACUCGCCUCUCUCCUCUCUCGCUCAUCCCUCUCCUUGUAUCCGGUAUAUAUAUGUUUUUGGUGUGAUUCUCAUAAUGUAUAUGGGGAUGAUUCACAUAUACCACAAUUGAAGGAGAUCAAUCUACAUCAUCCAUAAUUCACGUUUUGUCUUGCAAGUAAAUUAAAGUAACCAACUUUAGUUUUGUUAUUAAUCACACUUAGUGGCAUUUCUUUUGCUAUCUCUUUUAAUAUUCUUGUCCACAUUAUUCUUUUUUUCCCUCUAGCUAAAAUAGAGUGAUGAACAAUUAGGCAUUAUAAAUAGAGAAUUUGCUUUUAGUAGAUCAAAUUGUGAUUUAUUUUUUGAUUUUUGGUUGCUUUCAUUGAAUCUUUUAAUGUAUUUAGUUGAUUUUAAUUCUUAAAUUAAUGUAUACUUGAUUUGUUUCACCUUUACAAUUCAUUACAAUUUUAUCGUGUAUAAUAUAUUCUUUUCAAAUAUUAACUUUUAUACAUAAUCCUAAUUUAUUGUACACAAAUUAGUAUAUAUCGUGUUACUAGUUAUGUAUUGGAUAUACAAAUAUUACAAAUUUCAUUUUCUUUUACUACCAAUACAUACACCCAACUUUAUUCAACUAGUAGAAGACUAUUAUUUCUAGGGAAAAGGGUCCGAUAUACCCUCAACUUUAUCAUUUAGAGCUCAUAUACCCCUUGUUAUGAAAUUGACUCAUAUAUACUCCUACUUGUAAACAAAUGGCUCAAAUAUAUCCUUUUCCUUUAACGGAAAUGAAAAAAAAAUAAUUUUAAUCUAAAUUUUUAUUAUUUUUUUUCUAAAAAAAUAUAAUCCCAUAUAAGUAAAUUUAAUGCUCGUCAAAUAUAUUUUUUUGACUUUUUUUUGUUUCAAUGACUAAUUUAUAAUUAUUCUUUUGAUAAUCAAAUUUAUUUAUGUUUCAUUAAUAUUCUUGUAAAACUUAUUGUAGAUGACCAAAUUUUUUCUUCGAAUACGAAAUUAAAUUACAAAACACACAAAAAAAAUAGUUUAAUUUUUUAUUCUUUAAACUAAGGAAUGAAAGAAAAAGCAAAAUAAGAAUAAGAAAUUCAAAUAAUUAUAAUAAAAGAAGUCAAAAAAUAAUUUAUGUAUGAAAAAAAUUAAAAUAUACUUUGAACUUUGAUAGAAGAAUCAUAUAUACCCCUAAAUUUUUUUUUAAAAAAAAAUUAGAAGUAAUAAAUAUAAAUUUAAAACUAAUUUUUUUAAAUUCGUUAAAUGAAGGGUAUAUGUGAGCCAUUUCGUAAUGGCAGGGGUAUAUGUGAGCCAUUUGUAUAACGGUAUGGGCAUAUAUGAGCCACUUUUAUAACGAGGGGUAUAUCAGCUCCAAAUGACAAAGUUGAGAGGUAUAUCAGACCUUUUUCCCUUAUUUCUAAAAUGAAAGUCUAGAGUUCGCUUGAAUUGACUUAAAAGUUGAUCAAAUCUACUUUUAAAGUCCUGUUUUAUUUUUUAUUUUUGAGAGUUUUGACAAAGCAGAAAAUAACUUAUAAUAAGUUAGAGAUGACUUUAAAAAAAAGUUAAAAAUUACAAGUAGCUACUUCCUUACUUUUCAUUUUUUAACUUAAAAGUUACUAAAGUUUAACUUUUAAAAAAAUAAGGAAAAAAGUCUGAAAUAUAUAUCAACUUUGACCGAAAUUAUAUUAACGAUAUCAAACUUUGGAAAUGACCUUUUACCCCUGUACUAUUUAAUAGUGUAUUUUAAAGGUAUAUAUGUAUCCACGUGAACAUCACAAAUAUUCCAUCAUUAAAAAUAGAAAGUCAUCAUAAAAUUUGAUAUGUAACAAUAAUUUCGACCAAAAUUGAGAUAUUUUUCAGACCCUUUUUUCAAAAAAUACUUUUUAUGACAAGAAAGUACCUGGGAUGUUGAGUCGUUGACGCUAAACUUAUUAUUAAUAUGACAAGAAAAAAUAGUCCUAUGAGUUUCCUGGAAAAUACAUUGUAAUUAAUUCACAUGGGCACUUUUUAUUUUUUUUUAAACAUAUUGUGGCCAACUGAGAAAUUAUAGUUAGGAUUUUAAAUUGGAUUUUUAUUUCAUAUAUCCAUUUAAAAAUAAUUCAAUAUACUCCAUAACUAUAAUUUGAUAAUUACGAUUUGUAGCUAUAUAUAAGAGGGAGGAGAGAGGCGAGCGAGUGAGAUUGGGAGAGGGAGGAGAGAGACGAAUUGUAUAGGUCUAUCUAUCGAACUGUAUAAGUCUAUCUAUUAAAUAAUUAUAUAUUUAUAGCUGGUAUACGCAUGUACUUGUAUAUCUGGUGAGCGAGAUUGGGAGAGAGGCAAGUGAUAGAGGGUAGAGAGUGGAGAGAGACGAACUGUAUCUGUAUAGCUGUCAGAGGCAGAGAAUGGAGAGAGACUAACUGUAUUUGUAUAAUUGUAAUUAUUGUAUAUAUAUAUAUAUAUAUAUAUAUACUAGUUUUCGAAACGUGCGUUGCACGUUUGCCUUAUACAAUUAUUAUAAAGUUGAAUUAUUAUAUAAUGUUGAAAUUAGAAAUAUUAGUUUUACCAAUUUAUAUUUUAUUUAUUAAAUAAAAUUCAUAAUAAUCGAAUAGUACAUUGACCAUCAAACAAGAAUUUUUUUAAAAAUAAAUAUAUUAUUAUAGCAUCUAAUAAUAUGAAUAUAUCUGUAUAACUUAUUCUUAAUAAUCUCUCAUUACUCUCCAUAUUAGUAAGUACACAAAUGUGUAGCUACUUAAAGAAACUAUAUUAGUAAGGAAAGACAAAAGUAAAUAAAUAUUAUAAAAGUAUAUUUAAAAAUGAAUCUAAAUGUCAUAAAUUAGUAAUUUCAGCACUAAUAAAAAUAGCUUAUAACAUUCAUAAUUUCAUAGAAGAUUAUAUUAAAGAAGUAUAAUCGGUAAAGAAUACAAAAAAAAUUAAACAAAUAAGAAUAAAUACAACAUUUAUAUCCUUCUUAAGACUUUUAAUAUAACAAUAUAUAUAGUAAAAGAAAUACACAAGGAGUAAAAAAAUUUUCUCCCGUAACAAAAAAAAAACAAUCUAAAAUAGUAAAGAUAAAAUUUAUGAUUCAAAAUAUCAUUCUAAUGAGGAUCAAUAAAUAUUAAUAUUUCAAAACAAAAAAAAAGUACCUGUAAAUUGCAUAAUAAUUCACAUCAACACGAGGCAAAUGGUAAAGAGCAAUUAUUUUUAAAUGAUACAUAUAUAUAGCUAAAGAUUUAUUGGAUAAGAUGAAAAGGUGAAAAGUUGUUUAAGUUAAUUUUAGAAGUUGAAUGAUCUUACACAUGCGGUAGAGGAAAGGUGAUUGUUUUUACUAAUAAUUCAAUACAUUUAAUUAUACUAAUUACAGAGAGAGGAUAACAAAUUUAAUCAUUUAACCACAUUAAUUAUAGAGAAAGAAUUAAUAACUUUUAUUUAUUUUUUUUAAAAAGUAAUUCCUAACAAUUUUCUAUGAAAUAAUUUCUAACAAUUUUCUAUAAAAUAUUUUUGUCUUUCAAAGUUUGACUUUACACCUUCUUAGUUUUAGUAUAAUAUAAUUAUUACUUAGUAUGUAAAUAAUUAGAAUUUAAACUAUUGUGUCUAGAUGCAUGUAUUUAAAUAUGAUUAUAUAAUAUUAAAUUAAUUAUAUAUUAAUAUUUAAUUUAAUUUAGGGAUAAAAUAAGGACAAAAUGGUAAUUCAACUUUUAAGUUAAGAGCUUCCCACUUAUAAUAAUAAGAGUAUAUGUUAUAUCAUAAAAAAAAUCAUCUAGCAGACUAAGUACAAAUAUGUCAUAAAUAUUUUCUUGGAUAGCUUAAUAUAUAGAGGUUGUGAAUAUAAUCGAAGACAUCUAUAAUCUUUUUCAACACAUCGCAUUAGUACCAAUUUAUACUCUAUCAAUAGUUAUUUCUCCAAACUCAAAAGAGAAUUAAAAAAAAUUAUAAAAAUAUUGAACCAAUGAUUUCUAUAAUCUGGCCAUGAACAAAAUUACACUAAUAACUUAUCUUUUAAGUCUAGCAGGGCACUCUUAUAAUCAAAGGUUCUGAUACCAUCAUUCUGCUAUCGAAAAAGAAAAGCAUAUCAAAGAAAACAUAAGAAUUUUCAGAAUGUUCAUUGAUGUAUUUUUUUUUUGUACCCACAAAAUAAGAAUAUGCAAAAAUGAAACAAAAAGAAAAGAAAUAAUACAUACUUACUGGAGUAUCUCCGAUGAACAUAUGAAAUUAGGAAGAUGGUAGAUUAGAUUUUUGAAUGAUUAACAUAGAAUACACACAAUAUAUUAUAGUAAAUGAGACUCUUUGUUUCCCUUGUCUGUUAUGCCUUUUCAGUUGCAUCAUUUAAAUAUGUCUUCAUUAUUAUAUGAUAGAAUUACUGAAGGCUGAAACUAAUAAUUAUAUAUGGUAAUUAAGAUACUAUAAAUUAAAAGUUUUAUAUUUAAUAUUAAAAAAUAACUCCAAGAAAUUGAACAAAUUACAAAAAAAAAAAUCUCAUUAAAAUAUUUUUCUCACCUAUUAAAGCAUCAAAUUAGAAUUAAGGAAACAUAAAUCAACACAUAUAAACAAAUUAACAAUUAAUUAAUUUAUAAAUAGUCUAAGAGAUAAACUUCAAAAAAUUUAAACUAUUUAAAAAAAAUAAUAACAGGAAAACGUGUCUUUAAGAUAAUUAAACUUUAUUAUAUACUAAUAUUUUACUAAUAACCAAUUAGAUGAUUUUUACUAUUUCAAUGCAAGGACAAGGGUAAGACUUUUCAAAUUUAAAAAUUAAGAGUAAUUAAGUUAAAGACUAUAAAAUAAUUAGCAAUUUAUUUACUAAUAUUUAGUUACUUUGAUUAAGAUUUAGUAUAGGGGCAAAAUAGUAAUUCAACGUUUGCUUAACAUUCUUCCCACUUAUUCACAUUACAUGUUUAUUUUUGCAUGUCUGCUUAACGUCUGAAGCAGGAUCAGUAAGCAAAUCAUAACUCUUGUAAAUUUUAUUGCCUUUAUUCUUCACUUCUUUAGUAAGUGAAACAUGUACAAUCUUACACAAAUUCGUGUUAUUUACUUUCAAGUUGCAGAGUAGGAAAUUACCUUGGAUCUAAAAGAAAUUCCGUUGGAAUAUAAUUGAUUCCUACUCUCAAAUCUGUUGCAGCACCAAGUUCAAUUAUUUUGAACGCGCAACAACCUGCUUCAGAGAGACAUUAAUUACAACUUACAAGUACGCAAUCAAACUCAACCAUUGUGAAUCAGGUCAGCACUUUGUUUUUUAAAUAAUAUGUAUAUCCAUACGCCUAUGCAGUUUAUGACAGAGCACUUUCAGUUGCUGAUCUAAAACCUUGGUAGGAUCAAUCUGAACCUCAAGGUUUACUCAUUUUUUCCCCUUGAUUUGUUGACUUUCAACGUUUAAUUCUUUGUUCGAUGUUAAUUUUUACACAUAUUAGUACACACACAUACUGUUGAAUAGUACAAUAGAAUGUAGGAUUUUCAACAUAGUUUAACUGUCCUUCAAUGUCUUUAACUCCUGCUGUUGUUCUUUGUUAAUGAUCAUAAAAAUUCCGAAAUCACAUUAAGCCAUAUUAUAAUGAAGAGACAGAAUGUGUUUUGGAGAACCAAAACACAAAAAUGAUUGAAAAGAGCAACAGAAUAGAGAAUUGACUCAAACUCUUCUUCUACUGCUUCUUUGUUCCCUAAAACAAACAAAAAAAAACAGAACUGUCAACAACUCCAUUGCACAAUUGCUUUGUGAAAACUCGAAUACUGGCCUCCAUCUCAUUCAUAAAAAGUUUAUAUUUGCAAUUAGCAGCAAAACAGAGCAAAACCAAAGCAUUAACAUCAAAAAUUGACUGUAACUAUUAGGCAACAAAAACAAAGCACCAAAAAUAUUUACCUGUAUACUGACACGCCUUCUCUCGCCACUUCGAAGACCUUUCAUGCAGCGAUGUCCACCAAACUCCUUUUCUGACAAAGAAAACCAGGAAGCUGAAGCAAUGCUGAGUAGUAGAGGUAUUCACGGACUGUCAAUGUUCCAAUAAGAGUAGUUUCUCUGUCAACAAAUCCCAGCAGCCAAAAAGUUCCAUAUCAAAAGGCAGAGCUCAUGAUAAAGAAUAGCUAAGUUCCUCAUCCAAAAAUAUUUACCUGUAUAUCAUCCAGACACAAAAAGAGAAACAAUUUAAUGGACAAUAACAUGUGAUUUGAGACAUUUAUACAGAUGAUGAGAGUAGCUAAAAAGGUUUUGGAAGAAGAUGAUGAAACUUCAUAAUCGUCAGAAGAGAAGUGGAGCAGAUGACCGUUUCUGAAUAAUUAAAUUAGGCUGUUAGGAAAUUAAAUUUAUAAUAAUCAAUAUUAAUAGGUUUAACUAAUAUAGGGUUAAUAGGUUUAACUAAUAUAUUUAAUAAAUUAAUAUAUAAAUGAUAUUGUAGGGUUAAAAUGGUAAAUCAACUUUGGAGUUAAGAGGUUCAUGCUUACAAUAAUACUAGUUUCCGAAAACGUGCGUUGCACGUUUAUCCUAAAAUACUUCGUACAAUGUUUGUAGUGCAAAUAAUAAAUUUAAACAAUAUAUAUAUAUAUAUAUAUAUAUAUAUAUAUAUAUAUAUAUAUAUAUCAAGAAUUAACUAUUAUGCAUUUCAAUCACAUUUGUUACCGACCCAAAGGUAUAUAUGUACAUUUCACAAAUUUCGUCAAUAAUUCAUUUCCUCGUAAAUUUAAAAAAUAAUGAAGUUACAGUGGUUCAUCAACUUAUAAGACACCAUUGGUUCUCUUCAUCUUCAUUUUUAUUCUCUUCAUGUUCAUUUUUUUCUUUCUUUAAUUUUUUUGUUAGUGAGUUGGAUUCACUUGUACAGAAUCACAUCAACUUUUUAUCUUGUAGGAUAUUUAUUGAUUGUCAUGGAUGUAGUGAUAAAGCUAGAAGUCUUUCUUCUUGUCCUUGUGUAAAAGAUUUUUUUUUGGAUAAUCCAAUUAAGUGUACCGUCUCAACUUCUAUAAAAUAAUUUUUAUUUAAAAAUCAAACCAAAAUUUUAUUAAGAACAUAUCAACUUACACAAAAAUAAUUAAUUGCAUAUAAGGAACAAUAAUUUAUUACCUGAAAAUUGAUACCACUUGAAAUAGUUCAAUCUGUGUUGCUUCACUUACUGCAUCAUCACUAUGAAAUAUUAGCGUCAUUUCUUAAUUGUAUCUUCAUAAAAAAAAAGUCAAUUUAAAAAAUUUAUUAGUAGUUGAAAUAUUCAACAAUUUAGAUGAGUUCAAAUAAAGAUAAAUAAAACAUUGAGCAUAACAAACUCAUAUAAAAAAAAUAAAUAAAGAUAACAUGAUUACAUGAGAAAGUAUAAUAUAUAAUAUAGGAAAUGGAGAAUCUGCUAAUAGAAGAUAAAAACGUUACAAAUUAAGUGAUCCAAGAAGUGACAUUUUGAUAUCUUUAGACUAACUGGCUAACACCUUAAUAUGAGUUUUCUUUUUUUUAAAUAAUAACAAUGGUUUAAAGAGCAUAAUAAAAGUAGGUAACUUAAAAGGAUAAAUCAUUAUUGCUUUAUUUUUUAAAUUAUUAAUUCCAAUGCAUGUAUACUUUUUUAUCUAGUAAAAUUUUAUCUAGAAAUUAAUUAUGAAUGCUUUCGCUCUUCCACCUUCCGAGGAUAUUAAAUGGUUUUUAGUGCAUUCAGCUUAUCAAUAAUGAAGAACGAUAAAUUUGCACUUCAAAGCUGAAUUUGGUUUUUAUUAUGUUAUUAAUUUCAGUAAGUAUAAUUUAAUAAUAUCAUAUGAACUAAUAUUUAAAAAUAAUUAACUAUUAUAGGAAUACAAUGGUGAUUCAACUUUGCAUUUUGGAGCUUCACACUUAUACCCAUGAGUGUAUUAUUUCUUAAAAGAUAAUAAAAUAUAUCUAAUUGAGAUUUCUUACUUUGUUUUACUACUAAUUAUGAUACUCCAAUUUUCUGACCUUGCGUCUCAUGUUAGUCUAUGUUGACUCAUUUGAAUAUAUAUAUAUAUAUAUAUAUAAACCUAAAAAAAUUUAACAAGUUAAGUUAGGCUUGCACAAUGUUUAGAGUGUUUAUUGUUUGUAUUUUAAAGAACAAAUAUGUGCUAUAUGUAACAAAUAUUAUGAUAUUUUAUAUUUAAUAUAAUAUUUAUUACGAUUAUAAUUAUAUUUAAUUUUAUCUUUCAUAAAAUUAUAAUAUUAGUAUGCAAUAAAAUAAUUAUUGCUUUUGAAGGCCCUCAAUAUGAUGAUGGGUUGCUAGAAAUUUGAUAUUGAAGAAUGAUAUAUAUAUACAUGUGCAUAUAAGAAUAACCUCUUCUUUAUCUAUAGUAAAUUUAUAAGUGGUUAGAUAUUUAAAAUGUGAUUUCUCGUACUCAGAUAUAAGAUAAUUUCUCAUUAUUUUAAACUGUAAUCCCCUUCUUCACUUUACAAAAUUAAAAAUCGUUUAUGAGUGACACCCCUUCAAUAUUUAUGAUGUCAUAAUGAUCCAACACUUGAAAGCGGUAAAAGUUAUUUAAAACUCUCAUCUGAGGUUGCAGAUUUGUUAAUUUGGAGAAUCAUAGUUAAAGUAUGAAUUUUUAGAAAUUGUUAGAUUAGUUUAAUUUUUAAUUAUAUUUCUAUUUUAUAAAGUUUUUAUUGAACUACUAAUAGAUAUUAAAAUUGAAACACGAUUAUCAUGUUAUGUUUUGUAAGAACUAUAUUUAAUCAAAUUAAAUAAUUAAAAAAUUCUUUAUAAUGAGAUUUAAGAAUAAUAGAAAAUUUCAAAUUGCGCUUUAAAAAAAUAGUUCUUAAUCAUGAGCACAAGCUUAUUAUUUAAAUCACAAAAGACGAUUUUCUCAUUGCCUAAUUAAUAAUUGAUUCCUCAAAUAGAAACUAAAACACAUUAUACAAUCUACAAGUAAUAAUUUUCUUUAAAAUGAAAAUUGUCAGACCAAAAAUAAUAUAACAUGCAACCAAAGCUAAACAAAAUUAAUUAGCAUUGCAUCAAACGGUUGGUUAAAUGUGAUUUAUACUCCUAGCGAUAUAUUAUGUUAACAGUUGAGUAUAUAUAUUAGAUCAAAACAUCUUCAAUUACAAACUUCGAUUGCAAUUUCUUAAUAAUUUUCUUUUGAUCUCAUGACAUGUUAAAAACAACAGAAGAAAAUGAUAUUUAAUAUGAUAACAAUGAAUUUUUUUAAAUAAGAGUAAUUAUACAAAAAAAAAAUUCAUCUAAAGCAUGAAUAUAAUACGGAAAUUAAAAUUGAUUUCAACCUUCGGGAAGACUUGAACAUCCCUUCUGUCGUUGUAAACUCCAUUAGAAGAUCUAACAAUUUGUACACAUUUCUUUUCUAUAAACAACAAAUGAAGAUAAGGAAAAUUAGUAAUCAGUGUUAUGAACAGAAGCUAAAAGUGACUUAAAUAUAUACUAAAGGAUAAAAACAAUAGAAAUAUAGAAUUUUUUUUUUAAUUUCUUCCAAACUGUACCUAAAUAUCUUCAAAGUGUAUAGAUUGUUGUGUCAAAUACCGCAAUUUAUAGGACAUCAUUGAGUAAAAUCAAAAGUCUCAUAAUUAUGCCAUCAACUUCUUGAGAGUGUGGAAAGAUUAUGAAGGUGUGAAUAUUAAUGAUGAGAUAGUGAAGGUGUGGUAUUAAUACACAUUAUGACAAAAUUAAACCUAAAACUGAUCAGAUAGAGAAAUGAAAAGUUUCUCUAAUACAUUUACGUAAUAACUUUAUAAUUAAUUAUUUUUACAACUAUUCAUUCUCCUACUUUAUUUUAACAAUAAGUGAAUCAACUUAAUUAACAAUUUAAGCAUAUUUAAAAUUUAAUUAAUUAAUUAUUUUAUAAUAUUUUAAGUUAGUAUAAGGCUAAAAUGGUAAUUCAAGUGAAUCAACUUAAUUAACAAUUUAAGCAUAUUUAAUAUUUAAUUAAUUAAUUAUUUUAUAAUAUUUUAAUUUAAUAUAAGGUUAAAAUGGUAAUUCAACUUUUAAGUUUUGAGCUUCAUGCUUAUAAUAAUAAUAAUAAUAUAUAUAUAUAUAUAUAUAUAUAUAUAUAUAUAUAUAUAUAUGUAAUUUAUAUUUGUGUAUAUAUAAGUGACAUAAUUACAACUAAAAUUUAGCUGCAUGUCAUAAUUUAUUAGAACUAUAUUAGCUAAUUAACUAGUAUACCUUACUUAUCCGUUCCUUUUUUUUAAAAAUAAUUUGUACAUAUUUUUUUUAUUAGUUUGUUAAAGCAAAUAUACUAUUUGAACAACUAUACAUGUCAAAUGUCCACGCAAGUCCAAUCUCCAUGUAACACGUUUCGUCUUGCAAAGAAAUUAAAUUAACCUAAACUUUAGAUUUGUUUUUAUUUUUUUUUAACUCGAUCAACUCAAAUCUUCUUUGAACCUUCCAAUUUUAUAUAUGAACUCAUCUCAUAUUUCAAGUCUAUUGAUAUAUUAUACGUUCAAGAUAUUUACGUUUGUGACACAUCAAAUUUUAAAAAUUUGAGUUUCAAAGCUCUUUAUAAGUUAAAGUGCUCGGAUGGAUGACUACUAAAAUUGAUUCUUGGAAGAAGGAUCUUGAAUAGAUGCGUGUCUUUGAGAACAUGCAUUGCAAUUUCAUUUAGACAAAAUAUUUGCAACUUUUUAUUACCAAGUGAUUUUACAGUAAAAAAUUUGUAUAUGGAAAGAUGUUCUUUGUAUCCAAAUAUAAUUAAGCAAAUUUACAGAGGAUGGUCUUCUGGAAAAUCUACAAAUUUCAUAGAAUAAAGUUCAGUUUAACUAGUUUAUUCACGCCUAGUGAUUUAUAAAAAUAAACAAGUAAUUAGAGACAACUAAAAACAAUAAAAAAAUUGUAGACAAAUAGUUAGAGACAGUUAGAUUUAUUAAUUUUAACUAUGUUGUCCACAUUAUUCUUUUUCUCCACUAGCUAAAUAAAGUCAUGAGCAAAGAUGAAGUAUAAAUAGACAGUUGCAUCAAAGCAGAAAAAUUCAUCAAAUACAUUAUCACUUCAGCCAUGGGAUUCCUCAAAAUCUUUUUUGUUUUCAUCUUUUGUUCUUUCCCAUGGCCUACUAUUCAGAGUGAUUUCGAAACUUAUAUAGUCCAUGUUGAAUCCCCUGAAAGCCUAAUUACUACUCAAUCGUCGUUCAUGGAUUUAGAGAGCUAUUACCUUUCCUUUUUGCCUGAAACUAUGUCCGCAAUUAGUUCGAGUGGAAAUGAAGAGGCAGCCAGCAUUAUCUAUUCCUAUCACAAUGUGAUGACGGGGUUUGCAGCAAGAUUAACUGCAGAACAAGUGAAGGAAAUGGAGAAAAAACACGGCUUUGUCUCUGCUCAGAAACAGAGGAUUUUGUCCUUGCACACUACUCAUACUCCAAGUUUUCUUGGUUUGCAGCAGAACAAGGGUGUAUGGAAGGAUUCCAACUAUGGGAAAGGCGUGAUCAUCGGAGUUCUAGACACUGGAAUUAUUCCUGACCAUCCUUCUUUUAGCGACGUUGGGAUGCCUUCCCCGCCAGCUAAGUGGAAAGGAGUUUGUAAGUCCAAUUUCACCAACAAGUGUAACAACAAGCUCAUUGGAGCCAGGUCUUACGAACUUGGCAAUGCUUCCCCGAUAGAUAAUGAUGGACAUGGUACACACACAGCAAGCACAGCUGCGGGGGCUUUUGUGAAAGGUGCUAAUGUACAUGGCAAUGCUAAUGGAACUGCAGUUGGUGUUGCUCCUCUUGCCCAUAUAGCCAUAUAUAAGGUAUGUGGUUUCGAUGGAAAGUGUCCUGGCAGUGAUAUUUUAGCUGCCAUGGAUGCAGCUAUAGAUGAUGGAGUAGAUAUUCUUUCAAUCUCCCUUGGUGGAUCUCUGAGCCCUCUUUAUGAUGAAACUAUUGCUCUCGGGGCGUACAGUACAACACAAAGAGGCAUUCUUGUUAGUUGUUCUGCCGGAAAUAGUGGUCCAUCACCUGCCUCAGUAGAUAACUCAGCCCCUUGGAUUCUUACAGUAGGUGCCAGCACGCUUGAUAGAAAGAUAAAAGCUACUGUUAAGCUUGGAAAUGGAGAGGAAUUUGAAGGAGAAUCUGCUUAUCAUCCAAAGACUUCAAACGCAACAUUCUUCACUCUAUUUGAUGCUGCAAAAAAUGCAAAAGAUCCAUCCGAAACACCUUAUUGCAGACGAGGGUCACUCACUGACCCUGCUAUAAGAGGAAAGAUAGUAUUAUGCUUAGCAUUCGGCGGUGUUGCCAAUGUUGAUAAAGGACAAGCUGUGAAGGAUGCUGGAGGUGUUGGCAUGAUUGUCAUCAACCCAUCACAA